UACGUAGGGUGCAAGCGUUGUCCGGAAUUAUUGGGCGUAAAGAGCUCGUAGGCGGUUUGUCGCGUCUGCUGUGAAAAUCCAGGGCUUAACCCUGGACCUGCAGUGGGUACGGGCAGACUAGAGUGCGGUAGGGGAGAUCGGAAUUCCUGGUGUAGCGGUGAAAUGCGCAGAUAUCAGGAGGAACACCGGUGGCGAAGGCGGAUCUCUGGGACGGUACUGACGCUGAGGCGCGAAAGCGUGGGGAGCAAACAGG
rnacentral:rRNA from 1 species